GUGGCUGUACUUUUCUGAGUUUUAGCCUGCAUAUUUUUCCUAGGAUGCUGUACUCGGUGCUGAUAAGAGACCAACAGAAUGCUGAACAAUCUCAUGUUUAGAUUUUUUACUAUGGUAGUCAAGAAAGACUGAUAAGAUUUCCCACAUUCCAUCAUGAGAGGGGCUGAGGCCCUGUAAUUCGUGCAACCAGUUUCUAGUUUGCUGUGAAGUCCUGUCCGUGACUUCUGGGGGCCUGAGCUGCAGCUGCUGGAGCCGCCAGCUCUGCACACCCAGCUCUGCUGCUGCUGGAAUGACGCCAACUCCAUAUCGAGAAUUCAAGUUAUGCAGCAUGUGUGUAAUUCAAGCUUACAUUUCAUUCAUCAAGCCAGUAUGAAGACUUCACAAAAUACAAUCCGAAGAGCUGUUCUCAGAGAAAAAGACAGUAAGCUUUUGUAUAACCCUUAAUGGAUUUGCCCAGAUGUAAGCUGUGACCUUGCAAAGAAGUGGGAAGUGUUCAAUUUAUCAAUUAAAACAUCUUCAUCAUCAGAAUCAUUGUUGCUUUGUGUCACCAUAAUUUGUGAUUGUUAAUGUCAGAUGAGUUCAUGCUCGGUAGAAUAACACUUGAAAAGCUAAGAGUUUGAAUCUCUAAAGUAUAUUUCUUAGUAUAGAUUCCUAGCCUAUAAAUCAGGAAUAUUUUAAUAAACUAUUUCAAUAUAUUUUAUGGUGGCUAAUAGGCUUUUUAUGCAUUUUUCUUAAUUUCACAAAUGUCAUUGGCUUGUUGACAUAAUGAAAUAACUCAGGCAAUGAAGAAUUUUUUUUAUUUUCAGAAUCUCAACAACAGGGAUAUAUACUGAGAAGGAAAGAAAUGUGUGACUUGUGCGAUCUAUAAAUAACCUACCAUUUAAGAAGUAAAAUCAGUUAAUGUUUUAUGCAGAUUUCUGAUAGUCUCAGUGGAACCUUACUUAAUGCUGUAGGGUCGAGCUAUAGUGUUUCUAUGUUACUAUACAGGAAUUAGUUCAGGGAAUAUGGUGCUAUGAAGGCAUUUGUUUUUUAAAACACACGUUCCAGGAGCUAAAAAAUCAACUAUGUACACAUUGCAAUGGAAAUAAAUCUUCUGUGUAAGGAGUUUGUAAAAAGGCUAAAGCUGUUAUAAUGCCUUUGAGUAUAAGGCAUGGAAUCUCUACUUGUGAUGCAGUAAAUUUCAAGAACUGAAAAAAAUUUAGUUUGACAAACAGUGAGGUACCUAAAUAAAGGCACAGGUAAAGUGGUAUGGGUAAAAAAUUUCAAGUUUACUCAAAAAAGUGACUUGAAGUUUUACCAAAAAACUACAUGUGGUAGCCAAAUAUUCAGUACAGCCUGGAAACCUACAAUUUUCAGAGUUCAUAGAAGUCAGAUUUUGGAGGAUGGACCUCCAAAUAAAACAGGUAUUUUUAGGAAGUUUUUUUCACUUUCUAAGUACAGAAAGUGAGGUUGUUAGUCAUAGUUUACUGACACAAAAUACUAUCAAAACAAUCUUGAAUAAUUUUGUUUGGAUUUUCAGAGUAUUUUUAUGUUAUUGUCAGUACCAAAAUACCAAAUCAUUUUUGAAUUGAAGAUGUCAAUAUUUGUUAAUCAUGUCAGCAUAUUGUCCUACUUUCUCAGCCUGAUUUUUUUACAGUCGGCUUCUAGGACCCACCUUACACUAGUUAUUUUCCUUAUCUGAUACUCUUGCUAGCAAAGGCAGUUUACAUCCCUGUGAAUCUGCACAGUACAUCAGACUGCAACUUUUCUCCAGGCAGGGUUUCUAACCAGUAUGAAAUUUUGCUGCUGUUGGGUUUUACAAUGUGAAAGAUGCCAUGACUUAUAGACUGAGUGUUUUCUCUCAAGAUUCCUUCCAAUCAGAGGAGGAUGAGUCUCUUCCAUGUUGUUAUUAGGAAGCUGUCUUGGUACAAAGAGAUUAAAAGAAGAAAAUGAGAUCUGGGAAUUAAAAAUCAACCAACCAACCAAAAAACAAAACAAACCAAAACAAAACAAAACAGGAAUAAAACUUGCUGUCACCUGUCUCUUAUAAAAAUGAUCCCUUCUCUGUAUUUAGUAUAGCAACUGACAAUGUCCUGUAAGAUGAAUCUUUCCUGACUGCUAAUUAAUCAAUGAUAGCUCUACUAUUCUACUAAUGUUCUACUGCUUCCUUAUACAUGUUAUUUCUUUCUGACACCAUUCUUCAGCCUCAAAUACCCUAUGUUGUUUACCAGUACUCGUAUUGGCAAGUAAAACAAAGGCUGCAGUCCUCAAGAGAAUGUAAAUUAUUAGCCUUUUACCCUGAUGUCCAAUGCCUUUUUUUUUUUUUUUUUCCCCUCUGGCAGCAGGACUAGCAUAAAUAGGAUUGUAUUUAGACAAUUGUUUACAUUCCAUUUUUGUGGCUAGGAAAUAUCUGCUUGACUCAAACUUUAAAAGUAUUUGUGUAAGCUUGGUGCACUGCAAAUAAGAUGCCUUUAACAUUAAGAAUAACAUUAAGGAAAAACAUAUAUUUUAUUAGUACUGUGUGGGUAAUUAUUCCCCAUAUUUUAAAAUGAAAUUUGUUCACACACACAGGCAACAGAAAUUUCUACAACCAUGCCAUGAAAAUGAUAUUUCACUCUUAUAAUUUACAUUAUAACAUCCCAGGACUUAAACAUUACAAAGAAACAAAGGAUUAGACUUUUUAAUAGUAGUAUUUUGAAACCUGAAAUACUCUACCAUGCUUGAUGGAUUAAAACAGCAGGCAACGUAUAUAGAAUAUUUUUAGGAUAGCUUACAACUACUUCCAAAAUAUGCUUAAGGGUUACUUAAAACUUGAUUGAAAGAUGCUCCUCAGAAUGUCUCCAUAGUUCUUCAAGGAGGUGUAAGAGGCUAGUAAGACUGAAGCCACAGAAAAUACUUGUAAGUGGGAUUCCUCCUGUUGUGUUUAUUUUCCACAGUGUGUGUAAUCUUCAGAAUCACAAAUCAUUGUGAGUGUCAGGGUGAUAAUCAGGAUUAACUGUAUCAUAUUGAUUUUACUGCUGCUUAGAGCACCAUCUGCUAUGGUUAUGGGCAAAGCUUUAAAUCAUUGUAAAUGUGAACAGUAAUGAUAAAAAUGUUUGUCUUUGGAAUCACAAUUCUGUUGCAGAAUAGCCAGCUGACCACAAGCAACUUCACACCUCUUCUGUUUGACUAGAAUGUGCUUCAGAACAUCACUGAACAUGCUUCAGAAAGUGUGGGAGCAUAUUCAAAUAACAGACAUGAAAAAAGAACAAAAUAAAAUAAAAAAAAUAUACUAUGACUCAGUUGGGUGCUUAACCUUUUGUUCAGGCUACCCUCUUCAGUGGCAUGUUAGACAAUGGGUACUGACAACUGGCACUGUAUAUCAUAGUGACAUUAAUGUGCUGUGGAGGAGGAGAAGGGAAAACAGCAGUUUGGUUUUUAAUCACUUGGCAGAUGACAAGGAUCAUUUUGAUUUCCUGCAAGCAUGGCACCAUUCUUUGCAACAGCCCUUGUGCUUGCUCUAAAUAUUUGAAGCAUUUCUCAAGAAUUUAUUCUUCCCUUAAUAUGUAUUUGUUAUACAAAACUAAUGCCUAUUGACUUAGUAUAGCACUAGGGACUCAAAAGUACUUUUUAAUGAGUAUAUGGGCUUAUGUAGCCUCUUGGGACUUUGAUCGAUGGCAGUGAGAAGUAGCAAAUCCUUUCUCUUUGUACUCAUCAUGUUUAUUUGAAAUAUAUAUCAUGAAUACUAACAUAUUUAUCACCACUAAAGUAUUUGGGUAAUGAAAAAGUACCAAAAAGUUUAAUACCAAUAAAUUGAUGAAAGGGAUGAAGGGAGUCUGAUUCAACCCCAACAACCUGUUUAUUGGGAAAUGACACAUUGGUAUAAUAUGAAUAGUUUACUGAAAAGAUAGUUGAUGGCUCUUUGUGGGACACUCAGCAGGAGGGAAUGGCUAAGAACCAUUUUUGUGUACUAAAGGAAAAUGUAGUCUCAUGCAUGUUUUGAUGAUUGAGAGGUUUACAAUAUUCUAAUUACAUUAAUUAUGAAGACUCUGGAUUACAGGAAUUUCUGAGAGGAGCAGUUUUAUAUAUUUUUGAUGAAUUUUCUAUGAGUAAAGACAUUCAUAUGGAAAGUCUUUGCUCCAAGUAACUAGUUCUUGUUUAAAGAGACAAAGUCAGGAGAAUAUAGCUAGCCUGAGGAAUGGAUCUCAAAACUAAAAAGGUACAAAUUUGUCUUGUCAGCCCUGACUUGAAGGAAAUGCAGAUUUCAUAUGAAAAUGAAGCCAGCUAAUGCGAUGUUGUUUUGCUUUAGGUUUUCUUUUUUCAUAUCUGUUUUCCUACUAACUAGGGUCCUACUUUGUACAAUGAAUCUCAUUUUUUUGUUAUUUUACCUGCCUUUUGUCAGGUGUAAAGAGAGAUUUCAGGAUUAUCUGCCAGAUGCUUAAUUCUCUAGAGCAUAAAAUGUGUAAAA